GGGAUCUCAAGCUCAUUUUAUCUUGGGGGCCAUUGCCAAAGUUAUAUCCUCCCAUGGAGGCCGCAGAUCUGUACACCCAACUGCGCAACCACAUACAGAGAUCCACAUCCACUGACGUGAGCACGCAUACGGAUACAUACUCUCAAACACACACACAGAUCUGUACACUCACACACACUUACAGAUACAUAUUGCCAGGCACACACACACACACACACACUCUCUCUCUCCCUCCCUCCUUCCCCCACCACCUGCAGCAUUAAUACCACACAGGCACACACAGAUCUGUACACUCACACACACUUACAGAUACAUAUUGCCAGGCACACACACACACACACACUCUCUCUCUCUCCCUCCCUCCUUCCCCCACCACCUGCAGCAUUAAUACCACA